UUUGCAUGCAUGUUGCCUGAACAUAGCAGCGAGCAUGAGGCGUUUUAGAAAAUUAAUUAAAAAUAUUUCUAAAGAGUUUGUGUCGAGUUUUCGAUCAUGUAAAUUAAGAUUAACUUCCCCUCUGUCGGAAGGGUUGGCUAUUUUGCAUAAAUACCAACUCUGUAGGUGUUAACGAAUGUAAAUAUCAAGCUAUAGGCUUUUUCUUUGAAGCUGACUUUUCUUCGUGCUGGAAUUUCCGACUCUCCCACGCCUUUGAAAAAUGUCCACAAACCUCGUGCAUCCAACCUGCAACCAUUCGUCUCAUAUAAGGCUGAAUAUCCUUCUGGACCCGCUGGAAAUACGAGCACUGAGCGGACAGGAGGAGGAGAAGUGCCCUGGAUGAAGCAUGAGGCUGAGACUGCUGGGUUUGCUCCAGUCCUCCUGCUGCCUCUCACAGUGCUGCUGCUUCUUCUUCUACGGUCAGAAUAGACGGCGUCAAAAGGAACACAGCGUGGUAGACAACAUCCGGCUGCUCCUUUCAAAAUAAAAGCCGCUCUGUCACCGACUAUACUCACUGAACUGUUUGUUUGACUUCCGGGCUUUUUAUUUCACCAUAGUAUCUGCUGUAAUUUCUUAAGAAUACGUAUGCUAAAAUGAAGUGAGAUAUCAGACUGAAAACUUUACAAAUUGUGCUUUUGAUUACAAAUUUUACAUUUUAUACAAAGAUGUGCUUCUUUGUUUUGCUUAGUCUGCAGCUCAGAACAAAA